GAUGCAUUUUUGUGGUCUCCCGA
rnacentral:siRNA from 1 species